CUGAGGCAUGGUUAUUGGGCCAGGUGGACCGGGGACAGCAAGGAGUCAUCAGGCCAGGUAGUCCUGAGGCAUGGUUCUAGGGCCAGGUGGCCUGGGGACAGCAAGGAGUCAUCAGGCCAGGUAGUCCUGAGGCAUGGUUCCAGGGCCAGGUGGACUGGGGACAGCAAGGAGUCAUCAGGCCAG